CAGAUUGAACGCUGGCGGCAGGCCUAACACAUGCAAGUCGAGCGGCAGCACAAGGGAGUUUACUCCUGAGGUGGCGAGCGGCGGACGGGUGAGUAAUGCCUAGGGAUCUGCCCAGUCGAGGGGGAUAACAGUUGGAAACGACUGCUAAUACCGCAUACGCCCUACGGGGGAAAGAGGGGGACCUUCGGGCCUCUCGCGAUUGGAUGAACCUAGGUGGGAUUAGCUAGUUGGUGAGGUAAUGGCUCACCAAGGCGACGAUCCCUAGCUGUUCUGAGAGGAUGAUCAGCCACACUGGGACUGAGACACGGCCCAGACUCCUACGGGAGGCAGCAGUGGGGAAUAUUGCACAAUGGGGGAAACCCUGAUGCAGCCAUGCCGCGUGUGUGAAGAAGGCCUUCGGGUUGUAAAGCACUUUCAGUAGGGAGGAAAGGGUGAGUCUUAAUACGGCUCAUCUGUGACGUUACCUACAGAAGAAGGACCGGCUAACUCCGUGCCAGCAGCCGCGGUAAUACGGAGGGUCCGAGCGUUAAUCGGAAUUACUGGGCGUAAAGCGUGCGCAGGCGGUUUGUUAAGCGAGAUGUGAAAGCCCUGGGCUCAACCUAGGAAUAGCAUUUCGAACUGGCGAACUAGAGUCUUGUAGAGGGGGGUAGAAUUCCAGGUGUAGCGGUGAAAUGCGUAGAGAUCUGGAGGAAUACCGGUGGCGAAGGCGGCCCCCUGGACAAAGACUGACGCUCAUGCACGAAAGCGUGGGGAGCAAAA
rnacentral:rRNA from 1 species